GAUGAAGAACGCAGCGAAACGCGAUAUGUAAUGUGAAUUGCAGAAUUCAGUGAAUCAUCGAAUCUUUGAACGCACAUGGCGCCUUCCAGUAUCCUGGGAGGCAUGCCUGUCCGAGCGUCGUUUCAACCCUCGAGUCCCCGUGGCCCGGCGUUGGGGAUCUGCCCAGGCAGUCCCCGAAAACCAGUGGCGGACCCGUUACAGGCCCUUCCCUUGCGUAGUAGCAUUCGCCUCGCAUCGGGAGCCGGCGGGCUUCCAGCCUCUAAACCCCCAUCAAGUCCGCCCCGGCGGCACCAAGGUUGACCUCGGAUCAGGUAGGAAUACCCGCUGAACUUAAGCAUAUCAAUAAGCGGAGGA
rnacentral:misc_RNA from 1 species